CUACUUCACAUUUGGACUGAAUCAAGCACACCCAAGUGUACCUACUAUAGUCAUCUACAAUGGUGACAAAAUAAUGUUUUCUAUUAUAUGUAGGAAUCUUGUGAGGCCCCCAAACAUCUAAAUGCACUAACUGAAAACAACUAGUAGAUUUACCGGUGCUAAUAUGGAAUUUCAACCUACAUUUCUUAGCUAAAGGACAGACUUCACAAUCUUGUUGAGUUUGAGAAUAAACUUUAUUUCUAAGAGCUGGUAUAUUCUGCAUUGUCUUUGUUGAGGCAUGGCCUAGUCUCAAGUGCCAAAGUUCACUGUUAACCCCUGGUUGCACAAAAAAUCCUGUAGCUGCCAAUGUUAUGUUCUCCUUUAGCAGGUAUAACCCAUUAUGCUCUUUACCAAUCCCCAUCACCCUGCCACUGUAAAGAUCCUGAAAUAUACAAAAAUCAGGGACAAAUACUGUAGCUGCCAAUGUUAUGUUCUCCUUUAGCAGGUAUAACCCAUUAUGCUCUUUACCAAUCCCAUCACCCUGCCACUGUAAAGAUCCUGAAAUAUGCAGAAAUAAGGAAAAAAGGUAACACAACACCACAAAUCUUUGGUGAGUUUAGACACUGACAACAAGUUGAAUUUAAAAUCUGGCACAUACAGCACAUUCUUAACUGUCCUAUUUUCUAAUAUAGUAGUGUUUCCCGUGUGAGUGAUUUUGGAUUUGUUUCCUAUAGGCACUUGUACUCCUUGUACUCCUUGACUAUCAGUACUUCUAAUGUCCCUUAGAACAUCCUUGCAAUAGGUAACAUGAUGAGUAGCUCCUGAAUCUAUUACCCAAUCACACUUAUCAGCACAAAAUAAUAGAGAAAUUAUACCUGUCAUGUUUGUAGAACUCUCCCAUGCAUUAGACUUUGACAACAGGUUCACCAACUGUUUGUACUGCUUCUCUGUGAAGAAUUGCCUUGCAUUUUUGGCAUCAUUUCUUUACCUUCUUUUAUAGCAGCAGCUGUGUUUGCAUUUACAUUAUUGGCAUAUGUUUUCCCUCCAGUUGCUUGACCUUUUCUUUUACUUUUGAAAUCAGGUGGAUAUCCAAUUAUCUUAAAACAAUUCUCCUUUUAAUGUCCUUUAUACCCACAAUAAUCACAUAUUAAACCAGGUUUUCUAGGCCUAAAAUAUUGACCUUUCCCUGCUAACAUUGUGAGUGGAUCUCUGUGGGUAUCUGUGACACCCAAAGUCUUUUGACUCUCCCCUUGACUAACUAUGGCAUAAGCCUAAUUGGCGGUCACAACUAGUCUUUUUGCCAACACAUUACUGUGUAUGUUACUAUAACUUUCAUUUAGCCCCAUAAGAAAUUGUAAAUAGCCUUAUGUUCCUCAGAUAAUCAACAGAAGGUCGAGACUCUUCACAGUCACAAGAGGAAGUAAGAGCUAGCACAUCAAGUUCAUCCCAUAAAUCUUUCAUUUUUGUGUAAUAACUAGUGACAGAAUCCAUAUCUUGUCGGAGAGUCGCAAUUGCACUCCACAAAUGAUAGAUCCUAGUGAGAUUAGACCUAUCAAAUCUCUCCUGAAAAUCACUCCAGACUUCCUUUGCAUUUGACGUGUACAAAUACUCGGCAUUAAUUCACCCGUACAGUGCUUCCAGUCCAUGAUAACACAAUAGCAUUGCAUUUUUCCCAUUGCUUUGCUAAUUCUCCUUUGUAGCUGCUUUUCACACAGGUACCGUUCACGAAACUAAGCUUACUCUUUUCUCGUAGUGCUAAUUCAUCGCUCUGCUCCAAAGGGCAUAGUUUUCUGGCCCUGUGAGCUUGAGCGGUAUCAAUACGAGUCUAGGAGCGUCUCCAGAUUUUAAAAAUAGCGGAUGACUGUGAUCAAGUGAAGCAACUUCAUUUCGGCCAUGGAUGCUCAAAGGAGCUUAGAUCUGAACCAAAUUUUACUGAUUUCCGAUGAGGUCUAGAACUGAGCUGUAGAUCCUAAGAUCACUGCUCUGAUACCAUGAAGAAUUUCAUCCUAGCAAUUGACGAUAAUCUCAUGCAACUGAGAGAGAGUAGCUAGAGGGAGAAGCAGUCGAUGAGGAAGAGAAGAGAAAGAGAGAAAAUGGUACCGUUG
rnacentral:lncRNA from 1 species